GACAGAGGGUGCAAGCGUUAUCCGGAAUGAUUGGGCGUAAAGCGUCUGUAGGUGGUUUGACAAGUCUUUUGUCAAAGAUCAGGGCUUAACCCUGGGCCGGCAAGAGAAACUAUCAGACUAGAGUUCGGUAGGGGCAGAGGGAAUUCCCGGUGGUAGCGGUGGAAAUGCGUAGAGAUCGGGAAGAACACCGAAGGCGAAAGGCGC
rnacentral:rRNA from 1 species